UACAGAGGUCCCGAGCGUUGUUCGGAUUCAUUGGGCGUAAAGGGUGCGUAGGCGGCUACUUAAGUCGGAUGUGAAAGCCCCUGGCUCAACUGGGGAAGUGCACCCGAAACUAAGUGGCUUGAGUACAAAAGAGGGUCGCGGAAUUCCCGGUGUAGAGGUGAAAUUCGUAGAUAUCGGGAGGAACACCGGUGGCGAAGGCGGCGACCUGGGUUGAUACUGACGCUGAGGCGCGAAAGCGUGGGGAGCAAACAGG
rnacentral:rRNA from 1 species